UCCUACCAAGCCCACGAUCCGCCUCCCAUCUCUCUCCUCCCAUCUCCCUCCUCAAUCACCAUCCGCCUCCGGCGCCGCUGCGCAUCUACAUCACCCACCCCGGGAAUGACCACCGCACAAUAGCCCUCCGCGCCAUGCCCCUGCCCGUUCCCACCUCCCGCCUCCUCGCCGCCAUCUCCGCUGCCGCGUCCUCAACUGCAGACCUCCGUCGCCUCUCCCACCUCCUCCUCACCCCCUACACCCCACUCCCCCCGCUCCGCUGCCUCAAUACCCUCCUCAUGGCGCUCGCCCGCCACCGCAUGCUCCCGGACAUGGAGUCCUUCGCAUCCCGCAUGCCCGCGCGCAACCUUCGCACGUACACCACCCUUAUCAAUGCCUACUGCCUCGCCGGCGACCUCCCUGCUGCCAAGCGGCAUCUUGCCUCCCUACUCCGCGCUGGUCUUGUGCCUGACUCUCAUGCGUAUACCUCAUUUGUUCUUGGAUACUGUCGUGCCGGGAUGCUUGCGCACGCCUGCCGGGUGUUCGUGCUAAUGCCGCUCCGAGGAUGCGCGCGCACUGUGUUCACGUACACUGCGCUGCUCCAUGGGCUGUGUGGCGCCGGUAUGGUGCGUGAGGCUGUGGCAGUGUUUGCUGGGAUGCGGGCAGAUGGGUGCACCCCUGACACGCAUGUGUAUGCCACGAUGGUGCAUGGACUGUGUGGGGCGGGGCGAACUGGUGAGGCAGAGGUUCUUCUCGCGGAGGCAAUGGCUGAGGGUUUUGAGCCGAAUGUGGUCGUCUACAAUGCGCUGAUUGAUGGCUACUGCAAUGCUGGGGACCUGGAGCUCGCGGUUAAAGUUUUUGAGAGCAUGAAUGUUAAGGGGUGUUCAGCGAACGUGCGAACGUACACUGAGCUGAUAUGUGGGUUCUGCAAAUCUAGCAAGGUGGACAGAGCCAUGGUGCUGUUCAGUCGGAUGGUUGAGGCUGGUUUGGCACCAAAUGUGGUGACAUACACAGCCUUAAUUCAGGGGCAGUGCAAUUGUGGGCAGUUGAAAUGUGCUUUUAGGAUGCUCCAGUCAAUGGAGGCCACUGGGCUAGUUCCUAGUGAGUGGACUUGCUCGGUGUUGAUUGAUGCUCUGUGCAAACGUGGAAGAGUUGGGGAAGCUCAGUUGUUUCUUGGAUCUCUUAUACAGAAAGGAUACAGGGUGAAUGAGAUUGUCUACACCAGCUUGAUUGAUGGAUUGUGCAAGGCAGGAAAGGUUGAUGCUGCUGACAAGUUGAUGCAGAAAUUGGUUUCGCAGGGGUUUGUGCUAGACGCUCACACAUACAGUUCACUAAUUGAUGGAUUAUGCAGGCAAAAGGAGUUGUCACAAGCGAUGCUGGUGUUGGAUGAUAUGAUGGUGAAAGGAGUACAACCCAGUGCUGUCACGUAUACCAUUCUAAUUGAUGAACUUGUUAGGGAGCUAGGAUCUGAAGGUUCAAAGAAGAUACUUAAUAAGAUGAUUGCGGUAGGAAUUAAGCCUGAUGUUUUCACCUACACAAUAUUUGUUCGCUCCUACUGUCAUGAGGGAAGGAUGAAAGAUGCUGAACAUAUGAUGGUUGAAAUGGUUGAUCAGGGCAUUUUCCCUAAUUUAGUGACAUAUAACACUUUGAUUAGUGGGUAUGCAAAUUUAGGACUAGCCAGUCAAGCAUUUUCAGUUUUCAAGCACAUGGUUGCUAAUAGGUGCAAGCCAAAUGAGGAGUCCUACACGGUUCUGCUUAGAUUAUUGGUAAAGAAAAAAUCCUCUAAUAAUAUCCUUGCCAGCUCUGUUGACAUAUGGAAAAUAGCAGAAGUAGAAUAUCUCCAGGAGCUUUUGGAGGAGGUGGUUAAGCUUCAUUUGCUCUCAGACAUUGAAAUUUAUAAUUGUUUCCUUAGGUCUUUAUGUCGAGUUGAUAGAUUGGAGGAAACCAAAAUUUUGCUCAGUGAGAUGCAGAGUGCUAACUUGAUCCCUGGUGAGGAUGUAUAUACUUCAAUUAUAGGGUGUUGUUGCAGACUAAAAAUGCCAACAGAAGCGUUGACAUUUCUUGAUUCAAUGACCAAGAGUGGUUAUUUACCACGUAUAGAGUCGUAUAGGCAUAUUAUUUGUUCUCUUUGUGAGGAGGGAAGUAUUAAGACCGCUAAAAAGGUUUUGGGUGACAUGUUAUUGGAGGAAUACAACUACGAUGAGAUUGUUUGGAAGAUUCUGAUUGAUGGUCUAUUGCGGAAGGGCAAUGCUGCUGAGUGCUCGCUUCUGCUCUCAGUGAUGGAGGGGCAGGAUUAUCGCCCUAGUGAUGCAUUGUAUGCCAAGCUUACAGAUGGCAAGGCCGUUGUUGUAAGAGGAAGAAAGAAGGAUCAGGGAUAUUUAAUUACCUGCUCGAAGAGAUAUAUAAAACACCGAAGUUGAAUUCUUUGCUGAGUUGAUUGCUCUAACUUGGUGAAAUUACUAGUUUUUAAUGGUAAAGAACAUGAAUAUUGACAAUUAUCUAAGUAUGUUCCGGACAGCUCCUCGAAGAAUACUUGAAUGGUAAAUAGGAUAGUCAAAUUCUGGAAAAUGCCAUGGAUUCAACUCAUUGCUAAUGCACCGAGUCAGCUUCUGUAUAUAUAUGCCGGUUCAUAAUACCGGCAGUGACCUCGAUAGGGUGUUACGGAUAACUGGAAGGUCAAAAGGGAGUCACACGAGGCAGUUACCCAGGUUCAGGCCCUCAAGGUGGAGGCACAUGAAGGAAAGACGCUAGUUCAACAACCAAGGCGCAAAUGGUCAAGUCCACCCGCUGGAAUCCUAAAGAUCAACACUGAUGCAACUUUCCAUGGAAACUCAAACGAUGGAGGCCGUGGCUUUGUGGCUUUGUUAUUAGAAAUGAUAAAGGUGAAACUCUAGUUGCACGUGCAGGCAAACUAGAAUGGGUGGCUGAUACUUUCUAAUCUGAAGCUAUGGCCAAAUGGGGUUGUAACAAAGUAAUGCUAAAGACAGACUCAGUUCAGUUAAAGAAGGUUAUAUGUAGUGAAGAAUAUGAUCUGUCUGCACUUGGGACCAUGUUUAAAGAGAUUAAGUAUCAGCUUCAUGUAGGGUUUUCUGAAGCGUGUGUUGUAAAUUGCCCCAGAGCAUAUAAUCUCGUGGCACAUAGGUUAGCAGCGUUCAGUGCCAGUUUAAACUUUGAUGAGUGUGUUACUUGGUUGGGGCAUCUCCCAGAGUUUGUACUGAACUUUGUAGCUGGCGACCUGCCUAGCAAUGAUAUGUAGGAGGAAUGCAA